AUCAGAUAUCAGCUUUGACAAGACUGAUGAAUCACUGGAUUGGGACUCUUCUUUGGUGAAGACUUUCAAACUGAAGAAGAGGGAAAAGAGGCGCUCUACUAGCCGACAGUUUGUUGAUGGUCCCCCUGGACCUGUAAAGAAAACUCGUUCCAUUGGCUCCACAGUAGACCAGGGGAAUGAAUCCAUAGUUGCAAAAACUACAGUGACUGUUCCCAAUGAUGGCGGGCCCAUCGAAGCUGUGUCCACUAUUGAGACUGUGCCGUAUUGGACCAGGAGCCGAAGGAAAACAGGUCCAUUGAAUUUGUGACUAAACUGGCCUGUGUAAAACAACUAGUAAAAUUUUGGAGAGUUGGUUUCUUAGAACCCUCCUGGGGCAGGGAUUGGAUGUAUUGGGUAGUUUCUUACUGCUGCAUACCGAGGACCAGAGAACUGCUUGUGUCAUGCUUUACCUUUGAAUUGCUAGCCCACUUGCAUAACUUUAGUUUUUCUUGAAACUAUUUUUUUACGUAGCCAUUAGUACUCACUUUUGGCUAUGAUAACAGAUUACUGUUUAUCUCCCAGUUAAAAUUGGAGCUAAAAUUUAGAAGGAGCAAAAU
rnacentral:sRNA from 1 species